rnacentral:miRNA from 1 species
UGUGUGCAGCCACUCACCUUG